CAUCUACUCCCUUCCUUCCGAAUUACUUGUCGUAAAAAUGGAUGUAUCUAGAACUAAAAAAUGUCUAGAUACAUCUAUUUCUACGACAAAUAAUUCCGAACAGAGGGAGUACUCC
rfam:Triticum aestivum genome assembly, contig: Triticum_aestivum_CS42_TGACv1_scaffold_147528_2BS